rnacentral:lncRNA from 1 species
AGCGCGGGGGGGUUAGGGUCGCCCCGCCCCGCCCCCGCGGGAAGGUGGCGGCGGCCGCGCACCUGCGGCGGUGACGGACGGACGGACGGACGGACAGACGCGGGGCGGGAGCGCCGGCAGAAGCGGCCCGACGGGGCGCCCCCCUCACCUCUGCCGCGCACCGGCAAGGGGCGGACAACAGCCGCCCCGUGUGGAGAGGGGUGGCUGACAAACUUUAGGAGAGUCACCCCCGCGUGGGCGGGGGCUGCUCUGCGGUGCCCCAUGCGGUAAAGUUUUCCACGCGAGAAGGUUUCCGCAGAGCAGUGUCGGAGCCCCAGGGUGCGCCUCUUUCUCGCGUAAAGCAUCGGGCGGUGGAGCAAACCCGCGUUUGCGGACGCUGUCGCCCCACGCGGGUCACAAACUUUAGGAGGCACGGUCCCGCGGCCGCCCAGCCCGCCGCACGGCGUCCCUCGCCCCGCUCAGUGGCACCGGCUCCGCCGCGCGUCGCGGGGCUGUCAGCAGGAGCCGCGCGGGCAUUUUCCACGUGGGAGGCAGGAAAUAAACAUGAAAUCGAGCAUCAGGUUGCGGCGCGUGGAACAACCGGUGGUACUGAGACACGGGUCUUCGGUGCUGCCGGCCCCGGGCCCCUGCGCAGCACGACCCGAGUUUAGGUCAACUUAACCCUGUCCCAUCCCGCUCCCGACCGGCUCGUAGUGGGGGAAAAAAAAAAAAAAAAAAAAAAAAAAGAUUAAAGAAACCUACAAAAGUGGAUCGCGGCAGGUCUGGGCUGCUAUCCGGACCGAAACCUGUCGGGCGCGCUCUGUCCCGCCUGACCGCGGCUUUCCGCGGCUCGGGACAGGGAGCAUCCGCACCCCUGCCCCGGCUGCUGAGAUUUUCCCGGCCGCUGCCGGCGAGGACGCGAGGCUGAACGAGGGGAAACAGCCUCAGGCUUGCGGACAGCGGGGGAUACACCAGGGAGAGGGAAUAACGUCCUGCGGAGGCCCGGGCAGCAGCGGAGCGCUGCAGGGCGCUCGGCGACAGAGACACCAGGAAGGGUUAGUGCUGCAGGAGACCACAGUGUUGUCUCUGUCCACAGAUCACCAUUUUACUGUCACUUUACUGCACCUGUUUGAGCUUCCAGUACGAGGCUUCUUCUGCAGAGAAACUGCCAGCUGUACAUGCGUGCUGGUUUGGCACUGGGACAGCACAUUCCCUAGAGAGUGGAAUGAAACCACAAACUCCUUUUGCUCGUGGAGUAAAACCCCUUUCCACGAGGCAGGUGAGAGCAUGCUGAACUCGCUCCUGCAUUCUAGCUUGGCUUUUUUCUAAAUGUCA